rnacentral:rRNA from 1 species
AUUGAACGCUGGCGGCAUGCUUUACACAUGCAAGUCGAACGGUAACAGGCCGCAAGGUGCUGACGAGUGGCGAACGGGUGAGUAAUGCAUCGGAACGUGCCCAGUCGUGGGGGAUAACGCAGCGAAAGCUGCGCUAAUACCGCAUACGAUCUGUGGAUGAAAGCGGGGGACCGAAAGGCCUCGCGCGAUUGGAGCGGCCGAUGUCAGAUUAGGUAGUUGGUGGGGUAAAGGCCCACCAAGCCAACGAUCUGUAGCUGGUCUGAGAGGACGACCAGCCACACUGGGACUGAGACACGGCCCAGACUCCUACGGGAGGCAGCAGUGGGGAAUUUUGGACAAUGGGCGCAAGCCUGAUCCAGCAAUGCCGCGUGCAGGAAGAAGGCCUUCGGGUUGUAAACUGCUUUUGUACGGAACGAAACGGCUCUGGUUAAUACCUGGGGCUAAUGACGGUACCGUAAGAAUAAGCACCGGCUAACUACGUGCCAGCCGCCGCCGUAAAAC